rnacentral:lncRNA from 1 species
CAUCAUAGAAACUUGGAUGGAGUCUGGUUGCUGUAGAAGUCCUGCUGUUGGAGAAGCUCGGACAUUGACGAAGUUCGAAAGAAGUUUUGAGUAAAGUCGUUCGUGGCCGGAAGAAGUCUGGAAGAGAUUCGGAGAAUACUCGAUCACUAUAUAAAAUUGGCCGGUAGUGAAGCUCAGAGAGCAUUUGGAGCAGCCCGGUAGAUGAAUGGAGGAGCCCACCAUCGGAGAAGUCCGGAUGGUACUAUGGAAGCUCGGACAGUCGGAGAAGUUCAGAAAGAUGCCGCACAA